AUAUACCCAAAUGUCCUAGAGAGAUUAUAUUAUCAACUUGGAAAGAUGAAUAGUAAUCAAAAGUUUCAUCCAUGUCAAGAAUACCGAUGCCCCUACUGUGUAAUCCAUCACUUGUGCUAGCUUUAGGUUGAAUACAUGUGAAGGUGGCAAAAAAAUCCUACUCUAAGUCUCAAAACUUCACAAAACAAAACUGUAGUUGAAUCCUCCAACAGGAACUGGAACUGAAAGACAAGAUCAUCAUCACCUUGGAGGCUUUUGUGUCUUCUCAUCAUCCUCUACAUCCCAGCUUAAUCUUUUUCACCCCUUCCGCGGCAUCAAUCAGUUGGCGAUAAUAGUUCACGUCUCCUCUGUUCUUUUCCGACUCUCCGGCCUUCAAAAUGUUUUUCAACCCAUACAGACACAGUUUGAUGAUCAU